AUUGAACGCUGGCGGCAGGCCUAACACAUGCAAGUCGAGCGUGAAAGCACUUCGGUGUGAGUAGAGCGGCGGACGGGUGAGUAACGCGUAGGAAUCUACCUAGUAGUGGGGGACAACUCGAGGAAACUCGAGCUAAUACCGCAUACGCCCUAAGGGGGAAAGCGGGGGAUCUUCGGACCUCGCGCUAUUGGAUGAGCCUGCGUCGGAUUAGCUAGUUGGUGGGGUAAAGGCCCACCAAGGCGACGAUCCGUAGCUGGUCUGAGAGGAUGAUCAGCCACACUGGGACUGAGACACGGCCCAGACUCCUACGGGAGGCAGCAGUGGGGAAUAUUGCGCAAUGGGGGAAACCCUGACGCAGCCAUGCCGCGUGUGUGAAGAAGGCCUUAGGGUUGUAAAGCACUUUCAAUGGGGAGAAAAGUCUUACGGUUAAUAACUGUG
rnacentral:rRNA from 1 species